CAAGUAUGGAGGCGAAAGCUAUUUUGUCGGUAUUGAAAAAGCUUUUAUGGCCCAGUGGUUCUUGAGAAGAAGAUUUUUAAAUGAUCCCACCCUAUUUUUGUGAUUAUCUCCCUUUGAAGAGGGCUUGGUCCUUCAAUUGAACAAUAUUGAAUCCCCUUUACCCAAGGAUGUUUGUGCCAUGUUUGGUUGAAAUUAGACCACAAGGUUCUGAAGAAGAAGAUGAAAAUGUGAAAAGUUUACACCAACAACACCGACAGGCAACGGACAAAUUUUGAUCAUAAAAGCUCAUUUAAGGCUUCAACUCAGGAGAAAUAGGAUAUUACGAAGAAGAGAAGCUUUGUCAUAAUUUUUUAUAGUAUGAAUUAAAUGCAAUUUUUCAUAUA